rnacentral:rRNA from 1 species
ACUUUUGCCGGCGAGUGGCGAACGGGUGAGUAAUGUAUCGGAACGUGCCCAGUAGCGGGGGAUAACUACGCGAAAGCGUGGCUAAUACCGCAUACGCCCUACGGGGGAAAGGGGGGGAUCUUAGGACCUCUCACUAUUGGAGCGGCCGAUAUCGGAUUAGCUAGUUGGUGGGGUAAAGGCCUACCAAGGCGACGAUCCGUAGCUGGUUUGAGAGGACGACCAGCCACACUGGGACUGAGACACGGCCCAGACUCCUACGGGAGGCAGCAGUGGGGAAUUUUGGACAAUGGGGGAAACCCUGAUCCAGCCAUCCCGCGUGUGCGAUGAAGGCCUUCGGGUUGUAAAGCACUUUUGUCAGGGAAGAAAAGGUUUCGGAUAAUACCUGGAACUGAUGACGGUACCUGAAGAAUAAGCACCGGCUAACUACGUGCCAGCAGCCGCGGUAAUACGUAGGGUGCAAGCGUUAAUCGGAAUUACUGGGCGUAAAGCGUGCGCAGGCGGUUCGGAAAGAAAGAUGUGAAAUCCCAGGGCUCAACCCUGGAACUGCACUGUUAACUCCCGAACUAUAGUAUGUCACAGGG